rnacentral:rRNA from 1 species
CUACGGGAUGCACCAGUGAGGAAUAUUGCGCAAUGGGGGAAACCCUGACGCAGCGACGCCGCGUGGAUGAUGAAGGCCUUAGGGUCGUAAAAUCCUGUCAGGUGGGAAGAAGUGGAUAUAGAUUAAUACUCUAUUUCUUUGACGGUACCACCAAAGGAAGCACCGGCUAACUCCGUGCCAGCAGCCGCGGUAAUACGGAGGUGCAAACGUUGUUCGGAAUUACUGGGCGUAAAGCGCGCGUAGGCGGUUUGUUAAGUCAGAUGUGAAAGCCCAGGGCUCAACUAUGGAAGUGCAUUUGAAACUGGCAGACUUGAGUACGGGAGGGGGUGAUGGAAUUCCCGGUGUAGAGGUGAAAUUCGUAGAUAUCGGGAGGAAUACCGGUGGCGAAGGCGAUCACCUGGCCAGAUACUGACGCUGAGGUGCGAAAGCGUGGGGAGCAAACAGGAUUAGAUACCCGUGUAGUC